GAUGAACGCUGGCGGCGUGCCUAAUACAUGCAAGUCGAGCGAACAGACGAGGAGCUUGCUCCUCUUACGUUAGCGGGGGACGGGUGAGUAACACGUGGAGAAACGACCUAUGAAAAGGGGAUAAAUUCGGGAAACCGGAGCUAAUACCGGAUAAAAUAUUGAACCGCAAGGUUGAGUAGUGAAAGACGGUUUUACUGUCACUUAUAGAUCGAUCGGCGUCUCAUUAGCUAGGUGGUAAGGUAACGGCUUACCAAGGCAACGAUUCGUAGCCGGCCUGAGAGGAUGAUCGGCCACACUGGGACUGAGACACGGCCCAGACUCCUACGGGAGGCAGCAGUAGGGAAUUUUCGGCAAUGGGCGCAACCCUGACCCAGCCACGCCGCGUGAGUGAAGAAGGCCUUCGGGUCGUAAAACUCUUUUUUUAGGGAAGAAAAAAUGUGUAAGUAACAAUGCACGUAUUGACGGUACCUAAACAAUAAGCCCCGGCUAACUACGUG
rnacentral:rRNA from 1 species